CAUAGGCAAGCGUACAAUGCAGUCGUACGGUAACAUUUCUAACUUGCUACAAUAUGACGAGUGGCGGACGGGUGAGUAAUGCUUGGGAACUUGCCUUUGCGAGGGGGAUAACAGUUGGAAACGACUGCUAAUACCGCAUAAUGUCUUCGGACCAAACGGGGCUUAGGCUCCGGCGCAAAGAGAGGCCCAAGUGAGAUUAGCUAGUUGGUAAGGUAACGGCUUACCAAGGCGACGAUCUCUAGCUGUUCUGAGAGGAAGAUCAGCCACACUGGGACUGAGACACGGCCCAGACUCCUACGGGAGGCAACAGUGGGGAAUAUUGCACAAUGGGGGAAACCCUGAUGCAGCCAUGCCGCGUGUGUGAAGAAGGCCUUCGGGUUGUAAAGCACUUUCAGUUGUGAGGAAAAGUUAGUAGUUAAUACCUGCUAGCCGUGACGUUAACAACAGAAGAAGCACCGGCUAACUCCGUGCCAGCAGCCGCGGUAAUACGGAGGGUGCGAGCGUUAAUCGGAAUUACUGGGCGUAAAGCGCACGCAGGCGGUUUGUUAAGCUAGAUGUGAAAGCCCCGGGCUCAACCUGGGAUGGUCAUUUAGAACUGGCAGACUAGAGUCUUGGAGAGGGGAGUGGAAUUCCAGGUGUAGCGGUGAAAUGCGUAGAUAUCUGGAGGAACAUCAGUGGCGAAGGCGACUCCCUGGCCAGAGACUGACGCUCAUGUGCGAAAGUGUGGGUAGCGAACAGGAUUAGAUACCCUGGUAGUCCACACCGUAGACGCUGUCUACUAGCUGUGUGUGUCUUUAAGGCGUGCGGUAGCGAAGCUAACGCGCUAAGUAGACCGCCUGGUGAAGUACGGCCCGCAAGGGUUAAAACUCCAAUGAAGUUGACGGGGGCCCGCACUAGCGGUGGAGCAUGUGGUUUGAUUUCAAUGCAAGCGCUAAGAACCAUUACCCACACUUGAACAUGCUGAGAAGCUUACUAAGACGAUUAGUUUCGGUGCCUUACGAGAAACUUCAAUAACCACAAUGCUGGCUGCAUGGACUGUCAGUCAGGCCUCGUGGUCGUGACGAUGCUGGGUAAGGUCCAGCAACGUAGCGCUAACCCCUGUCCUAGCUGCCAGCUAGCUUGGGUCACCUCAUAAUGUAGACUGGGCGGGCUGGAACAAAACUGGGAAGUGAAAG
rnacentral:rRNA from 1 species